CCUACGGGGUGCAGCAGGCGCGAAAACUUUACAAUGCGGGAAACCGUGAUAAGGGGACACCGAGUGCCAGCAUCAUAUGCUGGCUGUCCGGGUGUUUAAACUACACCUGUUAGCAAGGGCCGGGCAAGACCGGUGCCAGCCGCCGCGGUAACACCGGCGGCCCGAGUGGUGAUCGUGAUUAUUGGGUCUAAAGGGUCCGUAGCCGGUUUGGUCAGUCCUCCGGGAAAUCUGACGGCUUAACCGUUAGGCUUUCGGGGGAUACUGCCAGGCUUGGAACCGGGAGAGGUAAGAGGUACUACAGGGGUAGGAGUGAAAUCUUGUAAUCCCUGUGGGACCACCUGUGGCGAAGGCGUCUUACCAGAACGGGUUCGACGGUGAGGGACGAAAGCUGGGGGCACGAACCGGAUUAGAUACCCUUGUAGUCC
rnacentral:rRNA from 1 species